CCUGACUAGGAGAUCCUAGAACAGCGUGUUGGUUGAAUCCAAGGAUGGGGAACCUGUGAAUACAGAGGGCCAACUGUCUAUCCUAUUAUGAUGAGGAAACUGAGGAACCCGGAGAUUGAGUGGAGCCAGGGGGCUUCUCUGGUGGCACAGUGGUUAAGAAUCUGCCUGCCAGUGCAGGGGACACGGGUUCAAGCCCUGGUCCGGGAAGAUCCCACAUGCCGCGGAGCAACUAAGCCCGUGCGCCACAACUACUGAGCCUGUGCUCUAGAGCCCGCGAGCCACAACUACUGAAGCCCGCAUGCCUAGAGCCCGUGCUCUGCAACAAGAGAAGCCACUGCAAUGAGAAGCCCACACACCACAACAAAGAGUGGCCCCCAUUUGCUGAAACUAGAGAAAGCCAGUGCACAGCAAUG